rnacentral:rRNA from 1 species
UACGAAGGGGGCGAGCGUUGUUCGGAUUUACUGGGCGUAAAAGGCGCGCAGGCGGCAGAUCAAGUCAGACGUGAAAGCCCCGGGCUUAACCUGGGAACUGCGUUUGGGACUGGUUUGCUAGAGAUCGGGAGAGGAGAGUGGAAUUCCCAGUGUAGAGGUGAAAUUCGUAGAUAUUGGGAAGAACACCGGUGGCGAAGGCAGCACUCUGGGACGUGACGUGACGCUGAGACGCGAAAGCGUGGGGAGCAAACAGG